GACGGAGGAUGCAAGUGUUAUCCGGAAUCACUGGGCGUAAAGCGUCUGUAGGUGGUUCGAAAAGUCCACUGUUAAAAAUUGAGGCUUAACUUCAAAGAUGCCGUGGAAACUUUCAAACUAGAGUAUGGUAGGGGUAGGAGGGAAUUUCCAGUGGAGCGGUAGAAAAUGCGUAGAUAUUGGAAAGACCACCGAUGGCGAAGGCACUCUACUGGGCCAUUACUGACACUGAGAGACGAAAGCUAGGGGAGCAAAAUGGGG
rnacentral:rRNA from 1 species